GUCUUAGUGAUUCUGAGUCCCUCGCUCCCUAUGGCAUUUCCUGCUUCCUGCUUCCUGCUUCCAUUCAGUCUUAGAGCGGCGCUGGUGGUGCGUGCAUUGAGGCGAAUUGGCGCCGGAGAUCGCGUAAAGUGUUUGCAACAUUUAGCCGGUGGCUGAAUGAUAUGUGUAUGUAUGUCGAGCUGCGGUACCUGUGAGUAAUCAUACAACUUCGCGUCUGGUGUUUGUUCAACCCAAUGGUGAGAGUGGGGAGUUGAGCUAAGCCUUCUCUAUUACAAACCCCUAGCUGAAGACCCUACAUGUGACGCCGCUGCUGUUUUGCUUAUUGGAUUGUAUUGCUCCAAUUAUUGUUUUGCUUCAACAAUUGUUUUGCUUUAGUGCAUCAACAAUUGUUUUGCUUCAUGGUUUUAUGUAUUUUGUUUUACUUUUUUUUUUAUUUAUGUCUGGUUUGUUUUGUAACCACAUGUAGUCUGAGAGUGGUAAAUUAGUUUUCUAGCCUCAAACCUGUUUCAGGUUUGUUGUUCCACCUAACCACUUUACUACUGAGAGGGUGUAUGUUACUGUCUCCAUGCUAUAGUGGCCAUAAUUGUCAUUUGUACUGUUUACCAUAAUUCUGGUUCUGCUUGGGUGUUAUCCACCGCCUCCAUUUCUUGUGGUGGUGUCAGUGGGCCUGGGUGUUAUAGUUACCAUACCACAGUGUCUGUUAUUUGUCUUUCUACGUUUUGUUGUUUAGUGUCUGUGUAAAUUUGGGUUAACUGGUGUCUUCUUUCUCUCCAGGAGCCAGUGAGUCUUGGUGGCACAGGGGAGGCUAGCUGCAUUUAUUCAGUGGUGUGUGCUUCACAGCAUGCUCAGUGUGCCAACACAACAACUUCCUUAUGGUGUAGGUAGUGUGUGAUUUUUGGUGUGACUUGCAGUGGGUUUGGAUGACCUCCUGAGCUGUCGCUGGCCUGCCUUGUCCCUGCCAAGCCUGGGCCUGGAGAAGUGGUUAGUUUUAAAAUACUUACUGUGCUUCAUGUGACAGUGAUUUUAUAUUUUCAUGUCAAGUUUUAAAUGAUGCUGAAGUGUCAUAAUAAAAUAUAAAUUUAUAUUCGUA